rnacentral:SRP_RNA from 2 species
CUAGGGUCCCUUCGCAAUGAUAAUUCGUGAACUCGGCCAGAUCCGGAAGGAAGCAACCGCAGCGAAUGACUCAUGUGCCGGAGUGUGGCUCUAGAGG